rnacentral:miRNA from 1 species
UAACAGGCAUUUCUGAGGUGA